rnacentral:tRNA from 1 species
GCGCUUGUAGCUCAGCUGGAUAGAGUGACUGGCUACGAACCAGUAGGUCGGGGGUUCGAGUCCCUUCAAGCGCG